rnacentral:lncRNA from 1 species
CAGGAAAUUCCUGGUGGACCACAAAAGCAAUCCCCUGAGUCCAGCUGCUGGCGGGGAGCAGUGGUGCACCACACCGCCAGGCUGAGCCUCAGCCUUCAGUGUGGGGCAGAGCACCUGUGCCCGGCAAAAUGCAAACUCUGUGCUCCUCAAACAAUGUUAAAAUGAACUAUACAGGGAGGCAAAGGUCAAGUGAACCAUUAUUGUGCUGCAUUUUAUGCAAACAAAAAAAAAUGUAUUAGAGGAUGUGCUUUGUAUUGUAACAAGGGUCCAGCCCAACUCCCCAGUGAGCUCCUCACCAACCACUUGUGGCCCCUUCCCACACAGCUCUGCAGAACCUGGCUUUGUCUGGCACCUCGUAAUCCUGACCAACUCAGGAAAAGGAGUCACUUGUUGCCUGGACAUUGGAUUGAGCGGUGAAAGUGACCACAAAUGAAUCAGUAGAUUAGUUCCAGUCUAUUUUUGAAUUGCAAGAUAAACUUGCUCUGCACAGAGAACAAGCUGUGUUGUACCUGCUAUCCUGUCAUUCCAAAUUUCCUCCAUCAGAUUGAAGGGCCAAGAAAAAAGAGCAAGUUAUAAAAAGCUGAAUAAAACCCUCAUAAUGAAAAGAUGACA